UAACGCGUGAGGAACCUGCCUCAAAGAGGGGGACAACAGUUGGAAACGACUGCUAAUACCGCAUAAGCCCACGACCCGGCAUCGGGUUGAGGGAAAAGGAGCAAUCCGCUUUGAGAUGGCCUCGCGUCCGAUUAGCUAGUUGGUGAGGUAAUGGCCCACCAAGGCAACGAUCGGUAGCCGGACUGAGAGGUUGAACGGCCACAUUGGGACUGAGACACGGCCCAGACUCCUACGGGAGGCAGCAGUGGGGAAUAUUGCACAAUGGGGGAAACCCUGAUGCAGCGACGCCGCGUGGAGGAAGAAGGUCUUCGGAUUGUAAACUCCUGUUGUUGAGGAAGAUAAUGACGGUACUCAACAAGGAAGUGACGGCUAACUACGUGCCAGCAGCCGCGGUAAAACGUAGGUCACAAGCGUUGUCCGGAAUUACUGGGUGUAAAGGGAGCGCAGGCGGGAAGACAAGUUGGAAGUGAAAUCUAUGGGCUCAACCCAUAAACUGCUUUCAAAACUGUUUUUCUUGAGUAGUGCAGAGGUAGGCGGAAUUCCCGGUGUAGCGGUGGAAUGCGUAGAUAUCGGGAGGAACACCAGUGGCGAAGGCGGCCUACUGGGCACCAACUGACGCUGAGGCUCGAAAGUGUGGGUAGCAAACAGGAUUAGGUACCCUGGUAGUCCACACCGUAAACGAUGAUUACUAGGUGU
rnacentral:rRNA from 1 species